CCUACGGGUGGCAGCAGUGAGGAAUAUUGGUCAAUGGCCGGAAGGCUGAACCAGCCAAGCCGCGUGAAGGACGAAGGUGCCAAGCAUUGUAAACUUCUUUUAUAAAGGAAUAAAGUGAGGCACGUGUGCCUUUUUGUAUGUACUUUAUGAAUAAGGAUCGGCUAACUCCGUGCCAGCAGCCGCGGUAAUACGGAGGAUCCGAGCGUUAUCCGGAUUUUUUGGGUUUAAAGGGAGCGUAGAUGGGUUGUUAAGUCAGUUGGGAAAGUUUGCGGCUCAACCGUAAAAUUGCAAUUGAUACUGGCAGUCUUGAGUACAGUUGAGGUAGGCGGAAUUCGUGGUGUAGCGGUGAAAUGCUUAGAUAUCACGAAGAACUCCGAUUGCGAAGGCAGCUUACUAAACUGCCACUGACAUUGAUGCUCGAAAGUGUGGGUAUCAAACAGGAUUAGAUACCCCUGUAGUC
rnacentral:rRNA from 1 species